rnacentral:rRNA from 1 species
UACGAAGGGGGCUAGCGUUGCUCGGAAUUACUGGGCGUAAAGCGCACGUAGGCGGCUUUUAAGUCGGAGGUGAAAUCCUGGAGCUCGAACUCCAGAACUGCCUUCGAUACUGAAGAGCUCGAGUCCGGGAGAGGUGAGUGGAACUGCGAGUGUAGAGGUGAAAUUCGGUAGAAUAUUCGCAAGAACACCAGUGGCGAAGGCGGCUCACUGGGCCCGGUACUGACGCUGAGGUGACGGAAAGCGUGGGGAGCAAACAGGAU